rnacentral:lncRNA from 1 species
CCCUGGACAGAGAACUGCCUCAAGGGUUCCCCUGUAGCUGCAGUAGCACCUCUGCUGAGACAUGGGACUCUGCAGUGCCCAUUUAAAAAACAAUGGCUGGGGAUAUCAGUAGGCCCUGGCCUGUGUCACUACUGCUCCAAGCUCUCCCUCACACUUUUACUAGCCUCUGUCUGGGAAUCUACAUGAGCUCAGUCGUUAAUGCUCACCAUGUACACAAGGAAGCAAGACACGAGCUCAGGGUCUGCUCAGCAUCUGGGAUUGUCCCAACAAAAAGCUCCAUAAACAGCCUGGAUACGCCCCUGUCCCCAUGGUUCUCUGAUGUCCUCCUGGGCUCCAUGCUGUCCCCAGCCUGCUCCCCCAUGCUCAGAGCAUGACCCCCACACAUUUGUCAGACUCCCGCUGCCGUUGGUCUCAAGGCAGCUGGGGCAGCAUGCCCAAGGGAUGUGCUGCCACUGCUCUGCUUCCCUUGGCUCAGCGCCUUCCUUCGAGGAAGGGAAUUGAGAGAGCAGUGUGGGGGAGCUCAGGUGCCUUCAGGGCGAAGCCUCUGCCUUUCCUGGUUGUUGUGUGGUUGCAUGAGGGUCAAAGUGUGGGUGCAGAUGGCUCCCACAGUGCUGUGCUGGCAGCAGUAUGGCCCCAGCUGAGACUCCCUGAGAGUUCUUCAUAAGCUGAUUCACCAACAGGAUGAAGGAGAAAUCUGCCCACAGCCUUGGCAGCUGCCCCAGAGCUCUGAAAUCACUUUGGCCUUGCUGCAGGGUUCCCCUGAUGCCAUCAUUUGUCUCGACAUUGAAGAGAAGCAGAGUGAUGUGGUCAGACGAGGGCAAAUCCUAGUGCGCACAAGGAUCAGGAGCUCUUUACAGGGACAAUGUUGCCGCUGAGAUACAAGUAAAACUAGCGUGUGCUGCAGUGUGUGAGAGGACAGGAAAAACAGUGGGGGUUCAACAAAAGCAGCGGAUGUAGCAGGUUCUUAGGCAAGGCCCCCACUGAUGAGAGCCUCUGGCUGUGGGCUGGGCUCAGGUGGCCACAUAAAGCUAACAGCACAGACCCCAGCUGAACCGCAAGCCUCUGCCCCACUGUCCCCAGCUCAGAGCAAAGCAGAAACUCGAAGCAGACGCUGCUCCCCAAAAGCAGCGCCCCAAAAGAUGCUGGGGCAGGCGCCAUGGGCAAGGCUGUCUCCUUCUGGCUGUGCCAUCCUGCUGCUGGUGCUCUGUGGCAGCAUGAGCUCCCAGGACAUGUGCAGCUCCCCAGGUACUCGUGAGUCCUUCCCUCCCAGACCCAGGGCACUUGGAAGCCCACCCACUGUGAGCUGUGCCCUAUGGCAGCCCUUCACUGCUGUGUCUCCUCCAGGGGAUCUCCGAGCUCCUGCUCUCCAAAUGAACUCAACUUCUGCUCAGCCAGGUACCACAGUUGUGCUCCAGUGUAUUCUCCCUGUGGUGUCACCCGUAAUACGAAUCAUCAUCUGCAAGGAUGGCAAGCAGCUGUACAGCGAGAAAGCCCAUCAAGGGCAGCUGAGCUACUCCGUGGUCCUGAACAUCACAUCAGGAAGCGCAGGAAGAUAUACAUGUGGGUACCAGCAGAGGAAUGAGAUGAAACAGAGGAGGAGCUCUGCCCUCAGUGCUGGCCGCAUCCUGAAUGUCCCUGGUGAGUCAUGGCCCUGGGCUGGAGGGGUGAGAAGGGACGGAGGCACUUGCCACCACAUGGCUGUGCUGAGG